rfam:Triticum aestivum genome assembly, contig: Triticum_aestivum_CS42_TGACv1_scaffold_272589_3DS
UUAGUACUCUCUCCGUUCCAAAAUUCUUGCCUUAGAUUUGUCUAGAUACGGAUGUAUCUAACACGUAUCUAGACAAAUCUAAGACAAGAAUUUUGAGACGGAGGGAGUAUACC